ensembl:lncRNA
AGAACAGGUUUUGCCUUCAGGGGUUCGGGAGUGAGUUGGAAGAGUGGGUACCCACGGUGGGGGCUGGGCCUCCCUGGGGUGUGGGGAGACAAAGGGGUCUACGUCCAAGUCGCCUCUUUCCCGCCUUGGGGCUCGAUGCCCGGGCUGUCUCGACGGUAGAGCUAUUGGGGUUCCGCCUGGCCCCAGUGAGUGCGGUGUCCUGCGCUGGAGCCACUUUCCUUCUAGAGGCAGGGGCGCGGCGGGUGAGACAGGUCCCCUCUCUGAGCCUCAGCGUUCCCCCUCUGUACAAUGGGGAUAAGAGUGCUGAACCCACAGGGUCGCUGAGAGCAUUCAGUGAUAACACAGGAGUAAGCCCGUGGCCCUGUGGUUAUUGCGGGGUCGUGAGUGCCUGUAUGAAUUCAGUCCACUUCUUAUUCCUUAUUAACUUUCUUGUUACGGGACAAACGAGCAAAGGAGAAGAGAAAGGCCCUGGCGGGGUGCUGGAAGAGCGGGUGACCCAAAAACGCAAACAGGAGAAGAUAAGAAGAGCUCCAAGAAAAGCCUGCUGUCCCUAGACAAAGAACCAGAAGAGGGAGGACCUUCUAAGAAAGAAAGCCUUUGGACAACAACUGCCCUAAUAUCACAGAAUGAAACACAGCUGCACCCUCACCACAGCAGCAAAGACUGAGCAGGAGGGAGUUCCCAUUGUGGCUCAGGGGUAACAAACCCGACUAGUAUCCAUGAGGACUCGGGUUCGAUCCCUGGCCUAGCUCAGUAGGUUAAAGUCCCAGCAUUGCGGUGAGCCGUGGUGUAGGUCGCAGAUGUGGCUUGGAUCUGGCUUUGCUGUGGCUGUGGUAUAGGUCGGCAGCUGCCACUCUGAUUCGACCCCUAGCCUGGGAAUCUCCAUAUGUCACUGGUGAGGCAAUAAAAAGACACACACACACACACACACACACACACACACACACACACACACACACACACACACACAAAUUCCUGUCGUGGUUCAGUGGAAACAAACCUGACUGAGGAUGCAGGUUCGAUCCCUGGCCUCACUCAGUGGGUUAAGGAUCAGGCAUUGCCGUGGGCUGUGGUGUAGGUCACAGAUGAGGCUCGAAUCUGGUGUUCUGUAUCUGUGGUAUAGGCCAGCAACUGUAGCUCUGAUUUGACCCCUCACCUGGGGAACUCUGUGUGCCAUAAAAAAACCAGAAGACUGAGUAUGAAAUGGGGGUUCCAUGCUCACUUGAUUGUAACCAAGUACCCCUCUCCACCCUUUGGGGUGGUAUCAGAGAAGAACUCAUGGGAAAGAGGGACUUAUGCCCACCUGGAAGAAAUGAGCACCACCCCACCCCCCUGCGCCCCCAAUGAUGUCAAUGGAGACCCUGCAGGGAGCCUGACUUCCACCCAAUCCCAGUCAUAAUGAGGCUCCCUUCGCUUCCUCUCUGGUAGAACAGCCCCUCUCUGGGCUGGGGUCACCAGAAGCCAAGUGGGACAGUGGAACUUUUAUGAUGAGCCAAUGAGAAAGAGGCCUCCUCCCCUCCAUGGUGUUAACAGAAGCCACAAGGAGAGCAGUAAGGAAGUGCCUUCCCACCCCUACCUGGGUGGUAUCUGUGGAGGCCUGGUGGGGAGUGAAGUCCUCCUCCUGCCAAGCAGUAGUAACAAGGCAUCAUGUCCUUUCCACCCCCACGCCUACCCUGUCCCCCAGGUUAGAGGCUGAGUGGGGAACAUGGACUUUUAUCUUAAUUUUUUGAGGGGGGCCACACCCUUGGCAUGUGGAAGUUUCCAAGCUAGGGGUCAAAUUGGAGCUGUAGCUGCCAGCCUACACCACAGCCACAGCCACAGCAACAUGAGAUCUGAGCCAUGUCUGUGAUGUACACCACAGCUCAGGGCAAUGCUGGAUCCCUGACCCACUGAGUGAGGCCAGAGAUCGAACCUGCAUCCUCAUGGAUACUAAUCGGAUUCGUUUCUGCUGCACCGCAAUGGGAACUCCCUUUUAUCUUCUUUGCCAUCUCUCUCUGUGGUUAGGAAUGCAUGCUUGGAGUCAUUAACAUCCAUGAAGAGAGGACAGUAAUACCUCACCAGCAAGUUUGCGGUGAGGACUAAAUUCAGCCAAGAGCAUGAAGAAUCUAUCCAUUGGCCCUGUUUUCAAAAAAGCUUCAUAAAUAUUAGCUGUCUGUCCCUCACAGAUCAUGGAACUCAUGUAGCUCCUUUACCUGCCCCCGCCCCCAACCUGGAAACAGGUCAGAAUCACCUUGGGAAGCCUUUUCUAAACCCUCACCUGAAACUCUCUUGUUGGUAGAAAUUGGAUUUCUGGAUCAAAGGCCAUUCAAGUAAUAACAUGGAAUAACAUGGGCCUCAGAAAAUGGAUAUUCUUAUUUGGUACCAACAGUGUAUGCCAGUGUCCAUUGCCUCCUCCUUCCUCCAGUACCAGCUGUUACCAUCCUAUGUCUUUAUUGUGAAUCUGAUUGCUCAUUUCCCCAGACCUGCCCUAUAUGAAGGUUCGUUUCAGAUGGCUGGGCUGAAGAGGGAAAGUGUUUUGUUUUCAGAGAAAGGGGGCAUAGUACGGUGAGGGGCACACAGUUACACCAGUAAAGCAUGGUAACUGCUGGAUCUCCCCCACCCUGUGCAGCUUCUGAGGCCAGUGGCUGAGCUCAUAUCAAGUGUCUGAAGGAGGCAGGUUCUGAGGGUCUGUGUCCUGAGGUUCAGCUGGAGCUUCUACUCCAGAUUCAAGGGCAGUGGUCCUGAGGAGACCCCAACACUUCACAUCUUUUGUGGCAUCUGACUCCUGGCUCAAGUGAGUUCACAGAUCUGAACAAAAGCAUGCUGUGGAAUAGCUCCUGUGAAGUUCACAAACGAGCCUAAAAGUAGGGGAGCUACUUUGAUCUCAUCAUGGGAGAAGAGGUUUAGCAGGUGGAAUGUCAUUCCAUUAGCAGCUCCAUGCUUUGUAGUAGCCCUGAGGCCCAUCUGACAGAAGGUUUUUUUUUUUUUUUUUUUUUUUUUUUUUUUUUUUUUGGCUGAAAAGCAAUGGAUUGUCCAGUUGUGAAAGGAACUUACUUACUAAAGACCAGUUAUGCUCUUUAACGUACAUUUGCAAUAAAUAUACCUAAAUUGUUUUCACUGUACAAAUAAUAAUCACCGAUUUCGAUGUAUCUCUCAGAUGAGUGUGGAAAUACGCAGUUGUUAGCUCUUCUAGCACUUUGAGAUUGUGAUAUAGAUUGUUUUCUGCUGACCACCGUUUUUUCCCCCUUAUAUAAUGAAAUUUUUUAAAGAGGCAGAAAAUUUCCAAGUGUUAGUUUAAAAUGUCAGUUACUGGAGCUCAAUAUUAUUUUUUAUUUUUUGGCUGCCCCACGGCAUAUGGAGUUCCCGGGCCAGGGAUCAGAUACAAGCCGCAGCUGCAACCUAAGCUGCAGCUGCAGCAACACUGGAUCCUUAACCCACUGUGCCAGGCCGGAGAUCGAACCUGUGUCUCAGCACUCCCAAGAUGCCACUGAUCCUGUUGCACCACAGCAGGAACUCCUAAAAUGUAUAUUUUAAAAAAGAAUUAUUACCCUAGAGUUUGCCCUAUUAUAAUGAUAAUCAGCCUCGUUCCCUAAAAAAACCAGUUGCUCUUAAAUAUGAUGAUUUUCCUAUGAUGUAAUUUUUUUCCCAUCUUUUUAGGUCUGUACCCACAGCAUAUGGAAGUUCCCGGGUUAGGGGUCAAAUAGGAGCUGUAGCUGCCAGCCUACACCACAGCCACACCAAUGCCAGAUCCAAGCUGUGUCUGCCACCUACACCGCAGCUCACGGCAUCGCCGGAUACUUAACCCACUGAGCAAGGCCAGGGAUCGAAUCCAAGUCCUCAUGCGUCCUAGUUGGGUUUGUUACUGCUGAGCUAUAAUGGGAACUCCUAGGAUGUAAUAUUUUUAUUUCUGUAUUUCAGAUGAAAAUAGAUAUCAGCUUUGCCUAAAUAUUUGGAUAUGUUUCAUUGUGAAUAAUUAUUUUUAUUUUGGUUAUAUGUAGUAUGGACCAAUUUGGUAAUACAUAGUGUGUACCUGUUAAUACUAUAAGAUCAUAGGAGUUCCCUUCGUGGCUCAGCAGUUAAUGAACCCAACUAGGAUCCAUGAGGAUGUGGUUUCAAUCCCUGGCCUCGCUCAGUGGGUUAGGGAUCCAGCAUUGCCGUGAGCUGUGGUGUAGGUCACAGACGAGGCUUGGAUCCUGCGUUGCUGUGGCUUUGGCAUAGGCUGGUGACUACAGCUCUGAUUUGACCCCUAGCCUGGGAAUUUCCAUAUGCCCGUGGGUGCGGCCCUUAAAAAAAAAAAAGCAAAAAAAAAAAAAAUACUACAAGAGUGUAAUUUUGGGAGUCUUUCAACUGAUUAAUUGCACAGAGAAUUAUGAAUAUAUAUAUAUAUCUUUCAAAUACUUUAUAGAGGCAUGAUUAACAUACAAUAUGCUAUGCAUAUUUAAAGUAUAUGUUUUAAUGUUUUGACAUAUCUAUGCACCUCUGAAUCCAAUACUACAGUCCAGAUAAUGAACAUAUCCAUCAACUCAAAAAACUUCCUAGUGCUCCUUUGUAAUCUGCCCAUCUAACUCUCUCCUGACUCUCUCUCCACAUCACUCUACUCCUUUCCAGAUAACUAAUGAUCUUCCAUCACUAUAGGUUGGUUUCCUUAUCCCAUAAUUUUAAUAUGAAUGGAAUCAUAUGAUGUGUAUUUUUUGGUCUUUUUUCCUUCAACUUAAUUAUUUCUGGAUUUAUCCAUGGUUAUAUUUACAAAUAGCUCCUUUUUAAUGUUGACUAAUAUUCUAUUAUGUGGAUAUGUCGCAAUUUGUUUUAUCAUUUAUCUGUUAAUGGAUAUUUGGAUGGUUUUCAAUUUCGGGCUCUUGUAAAUAAAGCUACUAUGAACAUUUGUUUAU